UACGUAGGGGGCGAGCGUUGUCCGGAAUUACUGGGCGUAAAGGGCGCGUAGGCGGUUCGCUAAGUCCGUUGUGAAAGACCGAGGCUCAACCUCGGGGUGUCAACGGAGACUGGUGGACUCGAGUGUCGGAGAGGAGCGGGGAAUCCCUGGUGUAGCGGUGGAAUGCGUAGAGAUCAGGGGGAACACCGAUGGCGAAGGCACCGCUCUGGCCGAACACUGACGCUGAGGCGCGAAAGCUAGGGGAGCGGACGGG
rnacentral:rRNA from 1 species